rnacentral:misc_RNA from 1 species
GGAAAAUUCUGUCGGAGGUCGGGGAACAUGGCGUAGCUAUUAUCACUAUCAAUCGUCCACCUCUCAAUCUGCUUUCUGUUGACGUGGUAUUGAGCUUGAAAGAGAAGAUUGAGGAAGCUAUACGUAAAGAUAGUGUGAAGGCAAUUGUCAUUACUGGUUCAAGAGGAAACUUCUCAGCAGGAUUUGUUGUAACAGCUUUUGGUGGAAGUCAACAGAGAAAGACACAUAGAGAACUUGGCUUUAUGUCAAUUGACUUUAUCACUGACACAUUGGAAGCUUCAAGGAAACCCAUUGUUGCUGCUGUUGAAGGUUUUUGUUUGGGAGGGGGAUUUGAAAUUGCACUAGCUUGUCAUGCUCGCAUAUCAACAUCUACCUCAAAAUUAGGUCUUCCCGAACUUCAGUAUGGGAUUCUUCCUGGGUUUGGAGGAACACAACGGCUUCCUCGGCUGGUUGGCCUUCCAAAGGCUCUUGAAAUGAUUCUGACGUCAAAGCGGAUAAGUGGAGACGAAGCUUGCAAUAUGUGCC